UGAAUUUUAUAUUAUUUUUAAAGUUGAUUUAAUGAAUUAUAGCUAAAUUUACCCAUAAAUAUUUUCAUGAAAAAGAAGUGAAAACAUUUUUUGACAAUCUUAUUAUACGUUUUGGUCAUAUAUCCUAUUUUUGACACAAUGUUUAGAGUUACCUAUAGCACCUCUCCAACCCAAAAAUAGGAGGAAAAUACAUUUCAUCAACUCGAACCCAUAUUCUCUUGUAUUGACAACAAUACCCAUACCAAUUGAACUAAGACUCAACCGACAGAAGUGAAGACAUAUUUUAGCCACAAAACAUAUUUUAAAUGUAUAAAACUCUAUUAUCAUAUUUAAUAAUUAACCUAAUAUUUUUAUAUUUGUACCAGCCCAUUUUUGCUCGGGCCCAUAAAACAAACCCAACAACUAAACCCAAUUACAAAAUUAGACCCAAAAUUACAAGCCCAAAAUUAAAAAAAAAAACCUAAGGGCCUAAAUGGCCUACAACCUAAACCAAUUUUAGUAAUAAAAAAAAACCUAACCCUAACCCUAGCCGUCAGCCACUGCCCCUAGCAUCAACCACUCCAACUGCUUCUACCUGCAAAAGAAGAGAAAAACACGCAAGAAAAAGAGCAGCAAAGAAACAAUAUAAUAUGUAUUCAAAUCGGCUAUAAAGCCGGAGAAAAUGUAACACAAAAGGGGUUUUUUUUUUAAAUAAAAAAAUCAGGAGAUUGUGAAUGUAAAAUCGUUGUUUUCAAACACAUAUCUGAAUACAAAAAAAACAGCAAGGAUUGAAGCAAAAAAAGAGAUUCAAAAGUGCCAAGGUCCCAUUUUUUUUCUUCCUUUUUAUUUUCAUUUUUCGGCUACACAUACAAACGUACUUUCUCUAAUUUUUUUUUCUUUCAAAAACAGUAUAUAUAUAUUUAUAUAUAAAAAUAUAAAAAAAUACCUUUUUUAAAUUCCGGCCACCACGCACGGUGGCCAGUGACGGCAGCGACGGCGGUGGUCCGGCGACUGGGACUCCACCGGAGGGGAGAGGCUUCAGAGAAAAGGGGAGAGGGAGAAGUUUUUUUUUUAAAAGGGUGUUGAAAU
rnacentral:lncRNA from 1 species